rnacentral:misc_RNA from 1 species
UUAAGUUCAGCGGGUAUCCCUACCUGAUCCGAGGUCAACCUGAAAAAAAUUGGGGGUUGCUGGCGAGCACACACCCGGACCUCCAGAGCGAGAAGAAUUACUACGCUCGGAGCCGGACGGCACCGCCACUGAUUCAGGGCCUGCGCAGCCGCAGGUCCCCAACACAAGCCGGGGGCUUGAUGGUUGAAAUGACGCUCGAA